rnacentral:tRNA from 1 species
GGAGUCGCCCGGGCUCGAACCGGGAUUAACUGGACGGGAACCAGACAUUCUACCAUUAAAUUACGACCCCU